UACGUAGGGACCAAGCGUUGUUCGGAUUUACUGGGCGUAAAAGGGCGCGUAGGCGGCUUGACAAGUCACUUGCGAAAUCUCCGGGCUUAACCCGGAAAGGUCAAUCGAUACUGCGGGGCUAGAGUGCAGAAGGGGCAACUGGAAUUCUCGGUGUAGCGGUGAAAUGCGUAGAUAUCGAGAGGAACACCUGCGGCGAAGGCGGGUUGCUGGGCUGACACUGACGCUGAAGCGCGAAAGCGUGGGGAGCAAACAGG
rnacentral:rRNA from 1 species